rnacentral:rRNA from 1 species
AUUGAACGCUGGCGGCAGGCCUAACACAUGCAAGUCGAGCGAGCGGAGGACGGGUGAGUAAUGUAUGGGGACUGCCCGAUAGCGGGGGAUAACUACUGGAAACGGUGGCUAAUACCGCAUACGGUCGGAAAACCCAUAUGGGAUUAGCUAGUAGGGAAGGUAAUGGUUUACCUAGGCGACGAUCCCUAGCUGGUCUGAGAGGAUGAUCAGCCACACUGGGACUGAGACACGGCCCAGACUCCUACGGAGGCAGCAGUGGGGAAUAUUGAACAAUGGGCGCAAGCCUGAUGCAGCCAUGCCGCGUGUAUGAAGAAGGCCCUAGGGUUGUAAAGUACUUUCAGUCGGGAGGCGUUACCGACAGAAGAAGCACCGGCUAACUCCGUGCCAGCAGCCGCGGUAAUAC